CCUACGGGUGGCAGCAGUGGGGAAUAUUGCACAAUGGGGGAAACCCUGAUGCAGCGACGCCGCGUGAAGGAAGAAGUAUUUCGGUAUGUAAACUUCUAUCAGCAGGGAAGAAAAUGACGGUACCUGACUAAGAAGCCCCUGCUAACUACGUGCCAGCAGCCGCGGUCAUACGUAGGGGGCAAGCGUUAUCCGGAUUUACUGGGUUUAAAGGGUGCGUAGGCGGGGAUGCAAGUCAGAAGUGAAAGCCCGGGGCUCAACUCCGGGACUGCUUUUGAAACUGUGUUGCUAGAUUGCAGGAGAGGUAAGUGGAAUGCCUGGUGUAGCGGUGAAAUGCGUAGAUAUUGGGAGGAACACCAGUGGCGAAGGCGGCUUACUGGACUGUAAAUGACGCUGAGGCUCGAAAGCGUGGGGAGCAAACAGGAUUAGAUACCCUGGUAGUC
rnacentral:rRNA from 1 species